rnacentral:rRNA from 1 species
CCGGCCUGAGAGGUCGGCUGGCCACACUGGGAUUGAGAUACGGCCCAGACUCCUACGGGAGUCAGCAGUGGGGAAUAUUGGGCAAUGGGGGAAAUCCUGACCCAGCGACUCCGUCGUGGAGGAAGGAGCCUUUCGGGGUGUAAACUCCUGUUGUAAGGGAAGAAGACAGUGACGGUACCUUACGAGGAAGCCCCGGCAAACUACGUGCCAGCAGCCGCGGUAACACGUAGGGGGCGAGCGUUGUCCGGAAUCACUGGGCGUAAAGCGCACGCAGGCGGAUGCGCGCGUCGGCUGUGAAAUGCACCGGCUCAACCGGUGCACUGCGGUCGAUACGGCGCGUCUGGAGUGCGGGAGAGGGAAUCGGAAUUCCCGGUGUAUCUGGUGAUAUGCGUAGAUAUCGGGAGGAACGCCGUUGGCGAAGUCGGCUUCCUGGCCCGCAACUGACGCUCAUGUGCGAAAGCCAGGGGAGCGAACCGGAUUAGAUACCCGGGUAGUCCUGGCCGUAAACGAUGGACGCUAGGUGUGGGCGGUUUAUCCGUCUGUGCCGAAGUUAACGCGUUAAGCGUCCCGCUUGGGGAGUACGAUCGCAAGGUUUAACUCAAAGGAAUUGACGGGGGCCCGCACAGCGGUGGAGCGCUGGUUAAUUCGAUGCAUACCGUGAACCUUACCUGGGUUUGACAUGCAGGU